GCAGAGGGAAGCUCAUGGGUGGGUUUGGUCAUGCUACCCCAUGUCCCCUGCGGAGGUCUGAGACUAGGGCCAAAAGUCACCCUAAGGGGCCAUCUUUGAGCUUUAGGGAGAUGAGUUUCCAAAGGGAAAAAAAAGUUCAAGGUUUCCUAAACAGGGUUCCUCUCCGUGAACACAACUCACCAAGUGC
rnacentral:lncRNA from 1 species